CUACGGGGCGCUCCAGUGGGGAAUAUUGCACAAUGGGCGCAAGCCUGAUGCUGCCAUGCCGCGUGUAUGAAGAAGGCCUUCGGGUUGUAAAGUACUUUCAGCGGGGAGGAAGGGAGUAAAGUUAAUACCUUUGCUCAUUGACGUUACCCGCAGAAGAAGCACCGGCUAACUCCGUGCCAGCAGCCGCGGUAAUACGGAGGGUGCAAGCGUUAAUCGGAAUUACUGGGCGUAAAGCGCACGCAGGCGGUUUGUUAAGUCAGAUGUGAAAUCCCCGGGCUCAACCUGGGAACUGCAUCUGAUACUGGCAAGCUUGAGUCUCGUAGAGGGGGGUAGAAUUCCAGGUGUAGCGGUGAAAUGCGUAGAGAUCUAGAGGAAUACCGGUGGCGAAGGCGGCCCCCUGGACGAAGACUGACGCUCAGGUGCGAAAGCGUGGGGAGCAAACAGGAUUAGAUACCCGUGUAGUC
rnacentral:rRNA from 1 species